GAUGAACGCUGGCGGCGUGCCUAAUACAUGCAAGUCGAGCGAACGGACGAGAAGCUUGCUUCUCUGAUGUUAGCGGCGGACGGGUGAGUAACGCGUGGAUAACCUACCUAUAAGACUGGGAUAACUUCGUGAAACCGGAGCUAAUGCCGGAUAAUAUUUUGAACCGGAUGGUUCAAGAGUGAAAGACGGUCUUGCUGUCACUUAUAGAUGGAUCCGCGCUGCAUUAGCUAGUUGGUAAGGUAACGGCUUACCAAGGCAACGAUGCAUAGCCGACCUGAGAGGGUGAUCGGCCACACUGGAACUGAGACACGGUCCAGACUCCUACGGGAGGCAGCAGUAGGGAAUCUUCCGCAAUGGGCGAAAGCCUGACGGAGCAACGCCGCGUGAGUGAUGAAGGUCUUCGGAUCGUAAAACUCUGUUAUUAGGGAAGAACAUAUGUGUAAGUAACUGUGCACAUCUUGACGGUACCUAAUCAGAAAGCCACGGCUAACUACGUG
rnacentral:rRNA from 1 species